UGCGUAGGCGGCAUCGUAAGUCAGGAGUGAAAUCCCACGGCUCAACUGUGGAACUGCUUUUGAUACUGCGAUGCUUGAAUUAGGUUGAGGUCGGCGGAAUAUGACAUGUAGCGGUGAAAUGCAUAGAUAUGUCAUAGAACACCAAUUGCGAAGGCAGCUGGCUAGACCUACAUUGACGCUGAGGCACGAAAGCGUGGGGAGCGAACAGGAUUAGAUACCCUGGUAGUCC
rnacentral:rRNA from 1 species